rnacentral:tRNA from 1 species
UCCCAUGUAGCUCAGUUGGUAGAGCAUUGCGCAACAUUAGGGUUGUGGGUUCAAUUCCCACAGGGAA